GGAUCCGUCGGAGAGCUUGCUCGAAGACGGUGAGAGUGGCGCACGGGUGCGUAACGCGUGAGCAACCUACCUCUAUCAGGGGGAUAGCCUCUCGAAAGAGAGAUUAACACCGCAUAACAUAUGUGACCGGCAUCGGUUGGAUAUUAAAUAUUUAUAGGAUAGAGAUGGGCUCGCGUGACAUUAGCUAGUUGGUAGGGUAACGGCUUACCAAGGCGACGAUGUCUAGGGGCUCUGAGAGGAGAAUCCCCCACACUGGUACUGAGACACGGACCAGACUCCUACGGGAGGCAGCAGUAAGGAAUAUUGGUCAAUGGGCGGAAGCCUGAACCAGCCAUGCCGCGUGCAGGAUGACUGCCCUAUGGGUUGUAAACUGCUUUUGUCCAGGAAUAAACCUUUCUACGUGUAGGGAGCUGAAUGUACUGGAAGAAUAAGGAUCGGCUAACUCCGUGCCAGCAGCCGCGGUAAUACGGAGGAUCCGAGCGUUAUCCGGAUUUAUUGGGUUUAAAGGGUGCGUAGGCGGCCUAUUAAGUCAGGGGUGAAAUACGGUGGCUCAACCAUCGCAGUGCCUUUGAUACUGAUGGGCUUGAAUCCAUUUGAAGUGGGCGGAAUAAGACAAGUAGCGGUGAAAUGCAUAGAUAUGUCUUAGAACUCCGAUUGCGAAGGCAGCUCACUAAGCUGGUAUUGACGCUGAUGCACGAAAGCGUGGGGAUCGAACAGGAUUAGAUACCCUGGUAGUCCACGCCGUAAACGAU
rnacentral:rRNA from 1 species